AGAUGGCGACCGGCGCACGGGUGAGUAACACGUAUCCAACCUGCCGAUAACUCGGGGAUAGCCUUUCGAAAGAAAGAUUAAUACCCGAUAGUAUAAUGAAACCGCAUGGUCUUAUUAUUAAAGAAUUUCGGUUAUCGAUGGGGAUGCGUUCCAUUAGGCAGUUGGUGAGGUAACGGCUCACCAAACCUUCGAUGGAUAGGGGUUCUGAGAGGAAGGUCCCCCACAUUGGAACUGAGACACGGCCCAA
rnacentral:rRNA from 1 species